CAGGCUUGAGUCUUGUAGAGGGGGGUAGAAUUCCAGGUGUAGCGGUGAAAUGCGUAGAGAUCUGGAGGAAUACCGGUGGCGAAGGCGGCCCCCUGGACAAAGACUGACGCUCAGGUGCGAAAGCGUGGGGAGCAAACAGGAUUAGAUACCCUGGUAGUCCACGCCGUAAACGAUGUCUACUUGGAGGUUGUGCCCUUGAGGCGUGGCUUCCGGAGCUAACGCGUUAAGUAGACCGCCUGGGGAGUACGGCCGCAAGGUUAAAACUCAAAUGAAUUGACGGGGGCCCGCACAAGCGGUGGAGCAUGUGGUUUAAUUCGAUGCAACGCGAAGAACC
rnacentral:rRNA from 1 species